AUUGAUUUUAUGCUUGCAUAAAUGAUUUUUGGGUUCGGAGCGAGUGGCGAACUGGUGAGUAACACGUGGGUAACCUGCCCCGAAGCGGGGGAUAACAUUUGGAAACAAGUGCUAAUACCGCAUAAUUAGUUGGAACCGCAUGGUUCCAACUUGAAAGAUGGCUCUGCUAUCACUUUGGGAUGGACCCGCGCCGUAUUAGUUAGUUGGUGAGAUAAAAGCCCACCAAGACGAUGAUACGUAGCCGACCUGAGAGGGUAAUCGGCCACAUUGGGACUGAGACACGGCCCAGACUCCUACGGGAGGCAGCAGUAGGGAAUCUUCCACAAUGGACGAAAGUCUGAUGGAGCAACGCCGCGUGAGUGAUGAAGGUUUUCGGAUCGUAAAACUCUGUUGUUAAAGAAGAACAAGUGUUAGAGUAACUGUUAACACUUUGACGGUAUUUAACCAGAAAGCCACGGCUAACUACGUGCCAGCAGCCGCGGUAAUACGUAGGUGGCAAGCGUUGUCCGGAUUUAUUGGGCGUAAAGCGAGCGCAGGCGGUUUUGUAAGUCUGCUGUGAAAGCCCUCAGCUCAACUGAGGAAGUGCAGUGGAAACUACAAAACUUGAGUACAGAAGAGGAAAGUGGAACUCCAUGUGUAGCGGUGAAAUGCGUAGAUAUAUGGAAGAACACCAGUGGCGAAGGCGGCUUUCUGGUCUGUUACUGACGCUGAGGCUCGAAAGCAUGGGUAGCGAACAGGAUUAGAUACCCUGGUAGUCCAUGCCGUAAACGAUGAAUACUAGGUGUUGGAGGGUUUCCGCCCUUCAGUGCCGCAGCUAACGCAUUAAGUAUUCCGCCUGGGGAGUACGACCGCAAGGUUGAAACUCAAAGGAAUUGACGGGGGCCCGCACAAGUGGUGGAGCAUGUGGUUUAAUUCGAUGCUACGCGAAGAACCUUACCAGCUCUUGACAUCUUCUGCCAACCCAAGAGAUUGGGCGUUCCCUUCGGGGACAGAAUGACAGGUGGUGCAUGGUUGUCGUCAGCUCGUGUCGUGAGAUGUUGGGUUAAGUCCCGCAACGAGCGCAACCCUUAUUAUUAGUUGCCAGCAUUUAGUUGGGCACUCUAGUGAGACUGCCGGUGAUAAA
rnacentral:rRNA from 1 species